CUUCACUGCAGCCACGCAAGCCACAGUAGAGAUGACUGUCAGCAUGGCUCAGGUUGCUGAUCUUUCUCCAAUCCCGGUGGUGCUGUACAGUGUCCCAGGCAACACGGGUCUAGAGCUGCCUGUGGAUGCCGUGGUCACAUUGUCUCAGCACCCAAAUAUCAUUGGCUUGAAGGACAGUGGUGGAGAUGUGACCAGGACUGGGCUGAUUGUUCACAAGACCAGCAAGCAGGAUUUCCAGGUGUUGGCUGGGUCAGUUGGCUUCCUCCUGGCCAGCUAUGCUGUGGGAGCUGUUGGGGGCAUAUGUGGCCUGGCCAAUGUCUUGGGGGCCCAGGUGUGCCAGCUGGAGAGACUCUGCCUCACAGGGCAGGGGGAAGCUGCCCAGAGACUGCAGCACCGCCUCAUCGAGCCCAACACUGCGGUGACCCGGCGCUUCGGAAUACCAGGGCUGAAGAAAACCAUGGACUGGUUUGGCUACUAUGGAGGUCCCUGCCGUGCCCCCUUGCAGGAGUUGAGCCCCUCAGAGGAAGAGGCGCUUCGCUUGGAUUUCAGCAACAAUGGCUGGCUUUAAUGACAAGCGGGGGACACCUGGUCUGAGCUGUCUCAGACUCUCGUUCCCACAGUCUGAGGAGGAGCAGGGCAUUGGAAUUAGGGCUUAUUUUUGUCUGUGUUCUAUUGCUGUGAAGAGACACCAUGACCAUGACAUAAAAGAGAGUGUUUAAUGGUGGCUGGCUCACAGUUUCAGACGUUCAGUCCAUUGUCAUCAUGGCAGGGAGCAUGGCAGCCUGCAGGCAGACAGUGCUGGAGAAGUAACAGAGAGGUCUACAUCUAGAUCCACAGGAAGCAGGAACAGAAAGCUACUGGGCCUUGCUUGGACUUUUGAAAAACCAGGAAGCCCACCUCCAGCAACAUUGACUCCAGUAAGCUACACUUCCUAAUACUUUCAAAUAGUAUCACUCCCUAAGCAUUUAUAUAUGUUGGGGGGGCAUUCCUAUUCAAACCACCACAUUCUGCCCCCUGGCCUCAUAGGCUGGUAGCCAUAUCAUAAUGCAAAAUGCAUUUAGUCCAACUUCAAAAUUUUCCAUAGUCUCUCACAGGCUCAAGACUGCUUAAAAGUCCAAAAUUCAAAGUCUCUUCUGAGGCUCACUGUAAAAUCAAAAUAAAAAACCAUGUCGGAUACUUACAACAUACAAUGUCACAGAAUAUACAGUGCUAUGCCAAAAGGGAGAACAUAGAAAAUACUGGACCAAAAGAAGCCUUAAAACCAGCUGUGCAGGGCUGGAGAUUAAGUGGCUCAGUGGUUAAGAGCACUGGCUGCUCUUCCAGAGGUCCUGAGUUCAAUUCCCAGCAACCACAUGGUGGCUCACAACCAUCUAUAAUGGAUCUGAUGCCUUCUUCUAGUGUGUCUGAAGACAGCUAUAGUGUACUCAUAUAAAUAAAAAUUAAUAAAAAAAAUUUUAAAAAUAAAACAAAACAGAACCAAAAAAAAAACUCAGCUGGGCAAACUCCAAA
rnacentral:lncRNA from 1 species